GAUGAACGCUAGCUACAGGCUUAACACAUGCAAGUCGAGGGGAAACGACAUCGAAAGCUUGCUUUUGAUGGGCGUCGACCGGCGCACGGGUGAGUAACGCGUAUCCAACCUGCCCACCACUUGGGGAUAACCUUGCGAAAGUAAGACUAAUACCCAAUGAUAUCUCUAGAAGACAUCUGAAAGAGAUUAAAGAUUUAUCGGUGAUGGAUGGGGAUGCGUCUGAUUAGCUUGUUGGCGGGGUAACGGCCCACCAAGGCAACGAUCAGUAGGGGUUCUGAGAGGAAGGUCCCCCACAUUGGAACUGAGACACGGUCCAAACUCCUACGGGAGGCAGCAGUGAGGAAUAUUGGUCAAGGGACGAGAGUCUGAACCAGCCAAGUAGCGUGCAGGAAGACGGCCCUAUGGGUUGUAAACUGCUUUUAUAAGGGAAUAAAGUGAGUCUCGGGAGACUUUUUGCAUGUACCUGAUGAAUAAGGACCGGCUAAUUCCGUG
rnacentral:rRNA from 1 species